GCCUUGAUAGUAUAAAUAUUACUUUGGUCUUGUAAACCAAAAAUGAGAAAUUAAUUCUCUCAAGACA
rnacentral:tRNA from 1 species